UUUUUUUCCUUACACAUGUACUACAAUUAUUACUAUAUUACUAUUAUUACUAUUAUUAUUAUUAUUACUUUGCAAGAAAAACAACACAAUAAGCCCUCCGGUCACAUUGUUACCUUUGACCUUUUGCCCGUGACGCACGACGCACUUGCCUCUCGCGCGGUGAGAUAAGGCGGCUAACUGCGGAGCUCAAGCUAGCGACGUUCCAGAUUACAAAACAGCUUUUGGUGAACUGAAAAAAAAUAUUUUUGGUGAAAACACUGGAGUCGGCUUGCUACUUGUCAGUUAACGGAAAACGUUAAAUGUUGUAUCGUUUCUCCUUCAGCACGGAGUCGCGGUUUAAGCAGAAAUGAAAUAUAACAAGACAGGCGUCUUAGAGAAUAUAAGUCUCUAAGUCCGCCUUUCUCUGAAUAAACUGAGCGGGAGGAGACAGACAGUUCAAAGACGCCACGUAAAGAGAGACGUCAGAAACAAAAAAGAAAGGCAGUGGAUUGUUGACCAACUGGGUCAACUGUACCAAUCAUUCACAGUGAGUUAAAAGGCAAGAGACUGAAAUAAAUAAGACUUCACUCAACACAGAAAAAGAAAAAGAAAAGAAAAGAGAAACUGACAAGAAAAAAAGAAGAGGAAAGAUUGAAGAAAAUGUACAUAGUUCCACGUUAAAGUUUGAUGCAGCUCUGUUUUUCUGAAUGGACCGUCUUCAUCUCCACUGCAAGUACAGCAACCCAAGCAGAUGUUCUUUGAUUGAUAUUGAGAGCUCUACUGACACUGCAGAAGCAAGUUCAUCUGAAGCUUUGACAGAAGCUCUGGACCCAGGGAGAACCCAGGGAGAACCCAGUCCUUGUUGGUAAACACAGCCUCCAUUGUCAACUUCUCCCAGUCUGACUCUAGGCCCCAGCACAGAUGUGUAGUUUCCUAGAUGUAGCUUUUCCUGUCAAUGUCUCAAAAAUAUAUGAUGUUCCUAAGAGAUAUCUUUUAUUACACUAGAACCUAUGAAUUGUCAUUUCCCUUCAGAAACCUGUUGCAAACCAUCCAGCCUUUUUUUUAGAAACCCUGUUACAGGUCAACCUGCCAACAUUCUGUACAUCUGUAUUUAAUAUACAUACAAUCAUCCAUAAAACUGUGUCUCAAGUUUUAUUAAGACCUGUGGAGCUCUUUCUUGUAAAAUUUUUGUCAAAUUACAAUGACAUUUUCAAGAAUUAAUUUUUGUAAAGGCUUUAAAUCUAACUUAAGCUGAAUGUAGAAAACUGUUCUGCAUUUAAAAUCCUCGCAUUCACAGAAAGGUUUCUUUUUGUCUUCUGACGCAAAAGCUCAUGGUUUCUCUCCAUUAUUAAAAAAAAGCUUUUGCUGGAAACCUUUUCUACAUUUUACACAUUUUUCGACUUCCAACUCUGCUCUUAGAGACCAGCCUCCGUUUUUCCUUUAAUAUUUCCAUGAAUUAAUUUUGGUCUCCAUUGGAACUUGCUUCUGUUUUUGUUUUUGUUUUAAUGCCAACUGUCUUUGAGUCUGUGACUAAAGCAGAGGUAUAUUACCAAAAUCCUCUUUCAAAUAGUAUAGCACAUUACAUACAACUGUCUGGAAUAGUGUGAAACAUGACACAUCUAUAACAUUCAAUUGUUGAAGCUCACAAGAUUGGAUAAUUUGGGAUAAUGCCUUCAGAAAAAUUAGUGAUUUGGGGGAAAACCUGGAACUCAAUCACUUUCAGACUUUAUGGAAUUAAGAGUUUCCUGAAUUUUAAAAUGUGGUUUAAUCUGGUAAGGGGUUCUUCAAUACUUUAGUGACCAACUAUUGCCAGCUACCCCAUUGGAGAGUGACUUUUAGCCAAGUCUUUCAAAUUAAAAUGCAGUUUUAAGUUUAUUCUUACAUCUCCCUGAUCUGUCAAUGUAGAAUUAGUUAGAAUCCCAGAAUUCUUAGAGAAACAUGCAUGUCAACCCUGUCAGGGCAGGUAAUAAGUAAUGUGGACAUCCUCUCUGAAGAGGACUGAAAUUGAAGUAGAUGUGUGCUAGAAGAUUUCUUGUCUUCCAAGUUUCUGAGCACAGUAUCUGCAACAGGCGUUUAGUGGAUUGAAGGUUUCUGUGGCACCAGACAAAGGAAAGUGCUGUGAUGGAGCGAGUCUUCUGUCUUGUUGUAAGUCUUCUUCUCUGAGGAGAUGCAAUGUCAGACACUGAGAAAAGAUUCAUGGAAAUGUAUUUUAGACUUAAUUUUUAUAAUGUUAUAGACCGCUUACAAUACUAAUACCAUUAUGAAUUUUAACCUUUUUAUUUGUCUGCAGAGUUUUUUUUGAAUGCAUCUACUAUAUGUGUUUGUGAAUUAAUACACAGGAAUAUGCUGUUUAGUUAAUGAAAUACUUUCUCAGCUAAGUUAACAUCUCAGCUACUACUAUUCCAAACAGAUCCCUGAUUUAUGACAAACCAUCUGAUAGAUUUUCUCUGCUUUUUGAUUGUUGCCAUGAAAAUGCAGUGGUUUCACCUGAUAACUGCUUUAUAAACAAUAAAUAGAUAUCUGAUACAGAUAUCUAAAUUGUUGUUUUUGACAACAUGUGGGUUUCAGUUGACAGCUGUUGGUUAUUACGCAAUAGCCAGCCCCGCCCUAAUCCGCACAACUCCUCUGGACUGACUACUGACCAGCUCUCCAUCUAACGGGUCCGGAAAGUUCCUGAAACCUGGGUAUUACCCUGCAGAAGGCCUGAGAGGGACAAUCUGGCUAAGCUGGUGUGGAGAGAGACUCGUCUAGCUCUAACUACCUAUAUCCAGAAGUUAUGACCCUUGAGAUCUAUUUGGGUUGAGAGUGGAGCCUCAGUUGAAUCAGGAGCCAAAGUUAUUCCAGCGGAGUGUCAGCUUGUCUUCCCUCUGGGUCCGGUGCGAAGCUCCUCUGUUGGUUUCCUUGGCCUGCUGUUGCUCGAUCCACUUGCCGGGGACGAAGAACCCCAGCUCUCCGUUCCUUCGCAUAUUUAUAUUCUUUCCUCCCGUUGUUGCGUGCGGGGAGCGGAUUACAUGGUUUCUCAAGUAUGUGAUUACUUCAUACCAGGUUCUGUUGGACCUCAGUGCAUCUUUUGACAUAUUGCUGAAUGGACUGGAGAGUUGGGUUGGACUCUCCAGUUCGGUGCUCGACUGGUUUGAAUCCUACAUAAAGAACAGGAAUUUCUUUGUUUCAGUUGGAAACUUCUCAUCAAAGAGGUCAAAGGUCACAUGUGGGGUACCCCAAGGUUCAGUCCUAGGACCCCUCUUAUUCAAUAUUUAUAUUCUCCCACUAGCUCAGGUUAUAAAAGGUAAUAAUAUUAGCUACCACAACUAUGCGGAUGACACACAGCUCUACAUUACAAUGUCACCAGGUGACGCUGAACCCAUCCAAUCACUGAAUAAAUGCUUAGAGCAGAUAAAUAUGUGGAUGUGCCAAAACUUUCUCCAACUGAACAAAAAUAAAACUGAAGUCAUUAUUUUUGGACCUAAAGAGGAACGAUCUAAAGUCAAUGCACAGCUUCAGUUAUUACAACUAAAAACUAACAAUCAGGCCCGAAACCUGGGAGUAGUGAUGGACUUGGACUUGAACCUCCAGAGCCACAUAAAGACAGUAACAAAAUCGGCCUUCUAUCACCUGAAGAACAUCUCCAGGAUUAGAGGACUAAUGUCUCAGCCAGAUCUAGAGAAACUCUAGAGAUCUAGAGAAACUCAUUCAUGCGUUUAUCUUUAGUCGCAUUGAUUUACUUGAGAUUUCCUUCAAAUCUCAAGUAAAAGGCCCGUUAUGAUCUGUUUUCUGCAUAAACCCUGGACAGAUCUCACCUCCUCACACCAGUUUUUAUGACACAGCAGCAGAAACUUCACAUUACAUGCGUGUGUUGUUCCUGCUUCUGUUCAGUCGUUUUCAUGUGUUUCUAUGUAAAACAAAAUGAAGACAAUAAAUAUU